rnacentral:rRNA from 1 species
GAUGAACGCUGGCGGCGUGCCUAAUACAUGCAAGUCGAGCGAACAGAUGAGUAGCUUGCUCCUCUGACGUUAGCGGCGGACGGGUGAGUAACACGUGGAUAACCUACCUAUAAGACUGGGAUAACUUCGGGAAACCGGAGCUAAUACCGGAUAAUAUAUUGAACCGCAUGGUUCAAUAGUGAAAGACGGUUUUGCUGUCACUUAUAGAUGGAUCCGCGCCGCAUUAGCUAGUUGGUAAGGUAACGGCUUACCAAGGCAACGAUGCGUAGCCGACCUGAGAGGGUGAUCGGCCACACUGGAACUGAGACACGGUCCAGACUCCUACGGGAGGCAGCAGUAGGGAAUCUUCCGCAAUGGGCGAAAGCCUGCCGGAGCAACGCCGCGUGAGUGAUGAAGGUCUUCGGAUCGUAAAACUCUGUUAUUAGGGAAGACCAAAUGUGUAAGUAACUAUGCACGUCUUGACGGUACCUAAUCAGAAAGCCACGGCUAACUACGUG